rfam:Ciona savignyi cont_63364, whole genome shotgun sequence.
AUCGCUUCUCGGCUCUUUUGAGCUAAGAUCAAGUGUAGUAUCUGUUCUUCUCAGUUUAAUACCUGGGACGGAAACGAUUCGUUUCCUCUAUGUAUAAUCGGAUUUUGAUACUUGGAGUAUGGUG